CUGUAUUCACAAAGCAUCUCAGUCGGUGUACUGAUUUUAGGAUCCGUUUUUCCUUUUAUAUCACAAUUAAUGAUUACAUUGACAAGGGGGAGCUGGUCCUAGAUCACUAUUCCUACUCUGAAGACACUCGGUUCGGUAAGAAAGCUGCUGCCAAAUACCUUGCACAGCAGUCUUUCACCACAGGAUCCUAGAGGUAUUACAGUCAAUGUUUCUAAACUAAACAUUUGUAUGUGCAUUUCCAUAUCAAUGAUACUAACAAAAGGGUUGAAUAGUUCAGCAACAUGUGCAGUGAACAUGGCUUUGGUGAUGAAAGAAACAUUUGAAAAAUGGCGUCGAUAGAGAAGGCAGCCGUGGUUCUAGCCCCCAGCAACUUUGCAGUAUUUUGUUUUUUAUGUGUUUUUUCUUACAUUAUUAGGCCAGAAAAUGUUUUGUGUUAUUACAUACAGCCGGGAAGAACUUUGGAUAUCAGAGUGGCGGUGCUGUAACUCACCAGCAUUACCAGCAUUAUGACCAGGAAUACGACUUUCCCGAAUCGGAUCCUUUGUUCGUACCCCCCAGGCAAUUCAACUUAUUCCAGAGGCUGACCCAAAACAUCGUCGGCGGAGAAGAGGUACUCGGAGUGGACUUCUAGUCCAACUCACAAGGCGUGCACACCACCCACCGCUUCCGAGUACAUUACUCACUAAUGUUCAGUCUCUGGAUUUCCUUCCAGAGAGACAUCAGGGAUUGUAACAUACUCUGUUUCACAGAAACAUGGCUCUCUCAGGAUUUACUGUCUUAGUCCGUAAAGCCAGUGGGUUCUCAGUUUAUCGCUCAGACAGGAAUAAAUAUCUCUCCGUGAAGAAGAAGGGCGGGGGUGUAUGUUUCAUGAUUAACUACUCAUGGUGUGAUUGUGAUAACAUACAGGAACUCAAGUCCUUUUGUUCUCCCAACCUAGAAUAACUCACAAUCAAAUGCUGACCGUAUUAUUUCCCAAGACAAUUCUCUUCGGUUAUUGUCACAGUCGUGUAUAUUCCCCCUCAAGCUCGUACCAUGACGGCCCUAAAAUAACUUCACUGGACUUUAUGUAAACUGGAAACCACAUAUCGUGAGGCCUCAUUUAUUGUAACUGGGGAUUUUAACAAAGCAAAUUUGAGGAAAGUGCUACCGAAGUUCUAUCAACACAUUGACUGUAGUACUCAUGCUGCUAAAACACUCAACCACUGCAAGGCCCUCCCCCACCCUCCAUUCAGCAAAUCUGAUCAUGACUCCAGUUUGCUCCUCCCUUCCUAUAGGCAGAAACUCAAACAGGAAGUACCUGUGCUAAGGAUCAUUCAAAGCUGGUCUGACCAAUCGGAAUCAAAUCAAAUGUAUUUAUAAAGCCGAUAUCUCAGCUGAUAUCUCAAAGUGCUGUCAGAAACCCAGCCUAAAACCCCAAACAGCAAGCAAUGCAGGCGUAGAAGCACGGUGGCUAGGAAAAACUCCCUAGAAAGGCCAGAACCUAGGAAGAAACCUAGAGAGGAACCAGGCUAUGAGGGGUGGCCAGUCCUCUUCUGGCUGUGCCGGGUGGAGAUUAUAACAGAACAUGGCCAAGAUGUUCAAAUGUUCAUAGAUGACCAGCAGGGUCAAAUAAUAAUAAUCACAGUGGUUGUCGAGGGUGCAACAGGUCAGCACCUCAGGAGUAAAUAUCAGUUGGCUUUUCAUAGCCGAUCAUUCAGAGUAUCCCUACCGCUCCUGCUGUCUCUAGAGAGUUGAAAACAGCAGGUCUGGGACCGGUAGCACAUCCUGUGAACAGGUCAGGGUUCCAUAGCCGCAGGCAGAACAGUUGAAACUGGAGCAGCAGCAUGGUCAGGUGGACUGGGGACAGCAAGGAGUCAUCAGGCCAGGUAGUCCUGAGGCAUGGUCCUGGGGCUCAGGUCGUCCGAGAGAAAGAAAGAAAGAAAGAAUUAGAGAGAGCAUACUUAAAUUCACACAGGACACCGGAUAAGACAGGAGAUAUACUCCAGAUAUAACAGACUGACCCUAGCCCCCCGACACAAACUACUGCAGCGUAAAUACUGGAGGCUGAGACAGGAGGGGUCGGGAGACACUGUGGCCCCGUCCGACGAUACCCCCGGACAGAGCCAAACAGGCAGGAUAUAACCCCACCCACUUUGCCAAAGCACAACCCCACACCACGGGUGUGGAAUCCACACUUCAGGGUUGUUUUGAUUUUAAUCGAUUUUUUAUUAUUAUAUAUAUACGUAUUUUACCUUUAAUUAACUAGGCAAGUCAGUUAAGAACAAAUUCUAUUUUACAAUGACGGCCUAGGAACAGUGGGUUAACUGCCUUGUUCAGGGGUAAAACGACAGAUUUUUACCUUGUCAGCUCGGGUAUUCGAUAUAGCAACCAUUUGGAUCACUGGCCCAACGCUCUAACCACUAAGCUAUCUACCACUCCAGUUGGACUGGGAUAUGAUCCAGGUAGCCUCAGAGAAUAACAUUGACGAAAAUACUGAUAUGGUUACUGAGUUUAUCAGGAACGGUAUAGGAGAUGUUGUACCUACUGUGACUAUUAAAACCUACUCUAACCGGAAACCGUGGAUAGAUGGCAGCAUUCAUGCAAAACUGAAAGCGCGAUCCACCACAUUUAACCAUGGCAAGGUGACUGGGAAUAUGGCAGAAUACAAAUAGUGCAGUUAUUCCCUCCGUAAGGCAAUCAAACACACAAAACGUCAGUAUGGAGACAAAGUGGAGUCGCAAUUCAACGGCUCAGACACAAGACGUAUGUGGCAGGGUCUACAGACAAUCAAGGACUACAUAAGGAAAACCAGCCACAUCGCGGACACCAACAUCUUGCUUCCAGAUAAGCUGAACACCUUCUUCGCCCGCUUUGAAUAUAACACAGUGCUACCGACGUGGCCCGCUACCAAGGACUGUGGGCUCUCCUUCUCUGUGGCCGAUUUUGCUGUCCCCACUUGCUUCAAGAUGGCCAUUUUUCCUGUACCCAAGAAAGCAAAGGUAACUGGAACUAAAUUAUUAUCACCCCGUAGCACUCACUUCUGUCAUCAUGAAGUGCUUUGAGAGACUAGUCAAUGAUCAUAUCACAUCUACCUUACCUGACACCCUAGACCCACUUCAAAUUGCUUACUGCCCCAACAGAUCCACAGACGGUGCAAUCGCCAUCUCACUGCACACUGCCC
rnacentral:lncRNA from 1 species